rnacentral:rRNA from 1 species
GUGGGGAAUUUUGGACAAUGGGCGCAAGCCUGAUCCAGCAAUGCCGCGUGCAGGAAGAAGGCCUUCGGGUUGUAAACUGCUUUUGUACGGAACGAAACGGUCCGGGUUAAUACCCUGGGCUAAUGACGGUACCGUAAGAAUAAGCACCGGCUAACUACGUGCCAGCAGCCGCGGUAAUACGUAGGGUGCAAGCGUUAAUCGGAAUUACUGGGCGUAAAGCGUGCGCAGGCGGUUUUGUAAGACAGGCGUGAAAUCCCCGGGCUCAACCUGGGAAUUGCGCUUGUGACUGCAAGGCUGGAGUGCGGCAGAGGGGGAUGGAAUUCCGCGUGUAGCAGUGAAAUGCGUAGAUAUGCGGAGGAACACCGAUGGCGAAGGCAAUCCCCUGGACCUGUACUGACGCUCAUGCACGAAAGCGUGGGGAGCAAACAGGAUUAGAAACCCGUGUAGUCC